CAUCUUUCUAGUAAUCUACUAUUGUUCUCUACAUUACAAGAAUAACAUCCCCAUCCACUUCCUCUCUUCUCAACACACACAUUAAUUAACAUGGCUUCUUCCACUCUUUCUCAUGUAACUCCUUCUCAGCUAUGCUCAAGCAAAAGUGGUAUUUCAUCGGUUUCACAAGCCUUGCUUGUGAAGCCGAUGAAGAUUAAUGGUCAUGGAAUGGGAAAGGAUAAUAAGAGGAUGAAAGUGAAAUGUAUGGCAGCUAGUAUUCCAGCAGAUGAUAGAGUGCCUGAUAUGGAGAAAAGGAAUCUUAUGAAUUUGCUUUUAUUGGGUGCACUUGCUUUACCAACUGGUGGAAUGCUUGUACCUUAUGCUACUUUCUUUGCACCUCCUGGCUCAGGAGGUGGUAGUGGUGGUACCCCUGCCAAAGAUGCUAAUGGCAAUGAUGUUGUUGUGACUGAAUGGCUCAAAACUCAUGCACCUGGAACUCGAACCCUCACACAAGGACUAAAGGGAGAUCCUACUUACCUUGUUGUGGAGAACGAUGGAACACUCGCGACCUAUGGUAUCAAUGCUGUGUGCACUCACCUUGGUUGUGUCGUGCCGUGGAAUACUGCUGAGAACAAGUUCAUUUGCCCUUGCCAUGGAUCUCAAUACAACAAUCAAGGAAAAGUUGUUAGAGGACCUGCUCCUUUAUCCUUGGCAUUGGCUCAUGCAGACGUUGAUGAUGGGAAAGUGGUGUUUGUUCCAUGGGUUGAAACAGACUUCAGAACUGGUGAUGCUCCAUGGUGGGCUUAGAAAUCCCAUCUAGCUUCUAUUAUUAGUAGUAUAUAAUAUUCUCUUGUACCAUUGUUACAUAGAAGCUUAUUCCCCUUUUUAUUAUAAAGGAAAAAAAAAUGUAACUAUUGAAACAUUACCCAAAAUAACAUUUC
rnacentral:misc_RNA from 1 species